CAGGACAAUGGUGAGUGCCGGUACCUGCCCUGGGGCCGUCCCUGCACAGGGGCCACGUGCUCACCGCAUCUG
rnacentral:pre_miRNA from 1 species